rnacentral:rRNA from 1 species
UGGUGGAGCGAUUUGUCUGGUUUAUUCCGAUAACGAACGAGACUCCAACCUACUAAAUAGUGUGCGGAUCGCUUUGCAGUCCGUUACACUUCUUAGAGGGACAAGCGGUGUUCAGCCGCAUGAGAAGGAGCAAUAACA